rnacentral:rRNA from 1 species
UUUCAAGGUUUCCGUAGGUGAACCUGCGGAAGGAUCAUUA